CUAAUAUGUCUUUUGUUUUGGCGGGAUACACCUUAAUUCCAUACCAAUAAAUUGAAGGGAAACAAAGAAGUAAAACUCACUUGACUUUCCAUAAAGCUUAAAGAGGAGAUUAGAAUUUUAGAGAGAGAAUUGAGACGGAAAAUUAGAAAACAAGAAAAGAAUUUGAAAAGGAGAACAAAUCAAUCAAAAAGCUCAUAGAAGUGG
rnacentral:misc_RNA from 1 species